rnacentral:rRNA from 1 species
UACGAGGGGGGCUAGCGUUGCUCGGAAUUACUGGGCGUAAAGCGCACGUAGGCGGCUUUUUAAGUCAGGGGUGAAAUCCUGGAGCUCAACUCCAGAACUGCCUUUGAUACUGGGAAGCUUGAGUCCGGGAGAGGUGAGUGGAACUCCGAGUGUAGAGGUGAAAUUCGUAGAUAUUCGGAGGAACACCAGUGGCGAAGGCGGCUCACUGGCCCGGUACUGACGCUGAGGUGCGAAAGCGUGGGGAGCAAACAGG